rnacentral:lncRNA from 1 species
ACCACAUUCUCACACCUGUGAGUUCCUCCUGACCUACUGCACUAGAUCUUGUACUACAAUGUUGUUUCUCAUGUUCCUGUAAACUGUUCAGUUUACGGGAAAUGUUCCUGUGAAGUGAAAGUAAAAAAAAAACAAAAAAAACACAUGUACCAAAACAUUCACGUGAUGACAAGAGGAGCCACACAAACAGUAAAAAAGGCAUUUGCAGUGUGUGAUAUUAGCAGUUUCCACCUGCACAGCAGUUCUCCUUCAUUCACUCAGCAGAGUGUCAUUCUGACAGCGAUGGCAGCAGAGGGAGCCACCAAAUUCCUGUUCCUUACCUUCAAUCUGCUGUGUCUGCUCCAUGUGGCUUGUUCACUGAUUGACUAUGAGAAACUGUACAAGUACAGAACUGCAUCAGAUUCAUUUGAUGGAAGCCUAAAACGGUUUGAUGACAUUCUGGAGCUACUGAUGGAAAUUUCAGAUUAUUUCCCACCAGCGAUCAAUUUGGCGCACAGCGUGAAGCGCUUCAAGAGGAAUAUGAAGACGUACAUGGACAAGCAGAGGGACUGGAAGAAAUAAGGAGCAAUGAGCUGUACUGUAACAGUGCCCAAGUGUUGAUGUAAAAGACAUAGAAAUGUAUGAUGUACAAAAAGGUAUUGCAGAAAGUAUGUUAGUGCUUUAAAGAGAAACAAUUGUGUAAU